CCUACGGGUGGCUGCAGUGAGGAAUAUUGGUCAAUGGGCGCGAGCCUGAACCAGCCAAGUAGCGUGAAGGAUGACUGCCCUACGGGUUGUAAACUUCUUUUAUAAAGGAAUAAAGUGCGGCACGUAUGCCUUUUUGUAUGUACUUUAUGAAUAAGGAUCGGCUAACUCCGUGCCAGCAGCCGCGGUAAUACGGAGGAUCCGAGCGUUAUCCGGAUUUAUUGGGUUUAAAGGGUGCGUAGAUGGGUUGUUAAGUCAGGUGUGAAAGUUUGCGGCUCAACCGUAAAAUUGCAAUUGAUACUGGCAGGCUUGAGUACAGUUGAGGUAGGCGGAAUUCGUGGUGUAGCGGUGAAAUGCAUAGAUAUCACGCAGAACCCCGAUUGCGAAGGCAGCUUACUAAACUGCAACUGACACUGAUGCACGAAAGUGUGGGUAUCAAACAGGAUUAGAUACCCCAGUAGUC
rnacentral:rRNA from 1 species